GUGCUUCAGUCUACCCAAGAUGGAGAAGCAGAUGCAAUGUGUGUUUCCUGGGUAGGCAUGCUACUGGAAGACAGGGAGUUUGUCCAUGGUGCCAGGGGAAGGUGGAGAAGGAAAGGACGUGCGGGUUGGUGCUAUGCAGGAUUAACAGAAAUGGGAGGAUGCGAGGCCAUAUAGAAGAGAGCCUGUUGACGUGACAGCUGAGGAAAAUGCUGCAACAUUAACUCCUCUGCCAAAAGUUUCAGUCUGAGCUCACGCUGCCAAGAACCCCCGUGAAUCCAUCUGACCAUGACACAAAUUCAUAAUCCUCACAAAGUUUUUCUGCGCUGAGUGAAUACGCUGUCUGCUUCAGUCAACUGAAGCAGUGUACAGAGUCUGGAAGGCAGGAGAUUAUUGGAAUUUAAUCAGCCUCAAGGACAGAGAUGCUGCCCUUUCAGGAAGCACACUUACCUCUUUCCCAUUUUUUGGAAAGAACAGAGAAAAUGAUUGAUCCUUUCUCCUGCUUUAGUAUCCACGGAGCCUGGAUAGUAUCAGCCUGGAGACUGAAAGGGCAGCUUGGCUCCGCACCCCAGCAUUUCCAGAGGAUUUGAGCCCAGCCGCCUGCACCCAAAAAAAGACAAAGUUGAGACUGCGAUGUCAGACUGUAGCUCUAACAACCCUGCCAUCUGAAUGGUGCCAGAACAAAAUUUAACCAGAAAGUGUGACCAAGUAAAAUGCAUUGCAGCAGAGAAAUAGUUAAAGUAUUUAGACAUCCUGGUCUUGCAAGGUAUUUAUCUCUUGCUAUAGAGUCCCCAAGACUUUUCACGUUGGCAUUUCUUGUAAAACCCGUUACCAUUUGCUGCUGUCAUAUUGUUUGUUACGAAUGCUGGGGUUUUUCCCCCAGUAUGGACGCAGUUUCAUUAUAGCUCCAUGGGGGAAGUCUGAGAGCCCAUGGGUUAAAAAUUGUAAUUAAAUACUCAAGAUUUCAAUAAUCACAUGUAAUUUUAUUAGGUGUCUCUCUCAAUCCAAUUUCUGCUCUGUGAGAGGGAUUCUCGCUUGUUCUAUGCAUAUGCAAUUAUGUAUGAGAAUUAGUUACGGUACCUUCCACAGAGAUUUAAUCCUUCACCUUUCCCCCAAAAAUGAAAACACAAGAAACCCCCAACAGAGCAUGUCUGAGUAACAUGUCAGUCACUAAUGUGAACUGUAGUUUGUUCAGAAAUUUUAAAAACCAUUUCAGUCCAGCACAAAGCGAAGCUCUGUGCAUGCCAGCAGCAUUAGGCAGAGUCCAGUGGGGGCAAUGGAUCUGCUGGUGUGCUAAUUUCUUAAUGAAAUUUAAUUUUUACUUUUGCCUUUGCAAUUCCCCUCUCUCAGAGACCCUGUUAGCCAAAGAGGGUACUGGGGAUACUAUAUGUUUAGAAUAUAAGAUAUUAUUAAAAUAUCCUAUGACAUUAUUUUUAAAGGCUGAUGGUCAAUUCCUAAACAUAUUUAUUGAGAUCCUUAUAAAGUUUUGGUACUGAAAAGCUUAGCAAAAUGACUCCUUAGCACCCCUACUGUUCUCCCGGUCCCACAAUACCCUUCAUUUGCUUCCACACUUCAUGCACGUUAACUGCCCUAUUUAAAUAAAGGCGUUUUGCCUGAGUAAACCAUUUGAGCUGGUUCUCUUCCUCUGGUUCUCAUUCAUGGGAAAUCUGGGAUCUUACAGCCCCAGUUUGAGAGCCUGGUCCAUUAGUAUUGUGGCUGUAGAAACCCACACCAUAGGCUCCCCAAAGCUUGUUUCAGUGAUGCUGAUAUUGAUGAGUUUGUUUUUUUUUUUUCCUCUAGAAGGAAAUUAUGGUUAAAAAAAAAAUCCUCUAAAGUUUACUUCCACAUCAAAAUUGGGUUUGGUUUUUUUUUCUGUUUUUUGGUUGAAAUGGUUGGUUGAAAUGCUCACUUCUCUGCAAAGGAAAAAAAUCACUUUUGUUUUUUAUAAAUGUAUUUUUUUUCCUAAUUUUCUUUGGUUUAUUUGCUUGUUAAGACAGUUCUGUCAGCUGUUUGUAUAUGGAUCUUCAGUGUUAACUAUCAUGAUUUAAACUCCAAUGAGAUCUUAUUUUCAUAAGGCAUAAGUGUAAUAGUGAAUUUGAUAUCAUCAAAACAAGUCACCUGGACAAGGUCUGAGCUUACACAAAUUGCUUGUGAAUUAAAAGCAUUAUGGGCCUUUUUAUGUAUAAUCACUAAUAUGUCUGGUUAAUCCUCUGGACUACCUGUUGGUGUGGAAGAGAUAGAUGAACAGGUCACUUCAAAGCCCUGAAUUUGAUGUUCAAAAGUUUUCUUGAGCCAUUUUCAAUCCUAUGUAAAAGGAGGUGGAUAUUAGGCUGGAAUUUUUCCAGCACUGAGAGAAAUCAAGCUGUGAGCAGGUCUGGCAAUAGAUCCUUCAGAAAUUUCAAAUAUUAUUUAGGAAAACCAACUAUUUUUAUUUUUUUUUAAGCAUGCUAUGCUAUUUGUAGCCUUAUAAGUAUACCGGCAACUUGCAGUUAAAACACCUUAUCCUGAGAAUCUUAAUGCUAUAGGCUUGAAAAUGACUGAGUUAAUUUAGAAACAAUUAUAUAAAUCUAUAGAAACUUCUUUUCCCUUGGGAAAAAUGUGAUCUGUUUGGAGUAGCCAAAUUGUCUAUCUCUAUAAAGUGAGGUCUAAUUACGUGCGUGGGUGAAGUUAUAAUAACAUAUUUUUUAAAAUAUGUGAUUGUUUUUGUUCAUACAAUUCUUAUUACAAUAAAAUGGUCAGAUAAUGGAGUGAGAAAUACUGUGACAGGAAAUUUCCUACCCAUGAUUAACAUUGGCUUUGGACACAAACUGUCCAAGGCUAUAUUUUUUGGAUGGCUUGGCACUUUUUUGAUAAUACCACAUAUGUAGAUUAACUCUCACAAAACAAAACCUCUUCAGUGAAACACAUAUAACAUCUUUAUCCCCAUUGUUAAGCAAGGCAUAAUCUUUCAGAGUGGAAUCUCUCUAGAACUCUCUGACCUUUGCAUCUCCUAUAACACUUAACAGCAAUAAUUAAUAAUCAUGACAACAAAAAAUAAUUGCUUUCCAGGUGAGUCUUCCAUUGUGAUCCCAUAUUUCAGAGUAUUUCUCAUGAAAGAUGUACCCACGGUCUUCAUUUUUCCAGAUCAGAAUGCAUUACAGUAUAUCUGCUUCACAAAGAUCUUACUGAUUAUCAGUCCAGUGUGUUUGAGAAUAUUUCCCUGACAUGAAUAGGACUGGACUAUCCUUGUGCUUAAUCAUGUGUAUGAGUAUUUGCAAAAUUAGAGACAUAACUGUUUCAGCUUGUUUUGAAUUCAUAGUUGAUGCUGACAGGACACCUACAGCCUGUAAUCAAUACCUGUUUGUUACUGGAAAUUUAAAUUAAACAAAAUGUUACCUAGUUUGCAAAUAAUAUUAUCUGUCUUAAACCUCAA